AUGCUUGCUUACCAUACCUUCUUUGCUGCAUUUUUUGAAUUGCUGCAUUUGUUGACAUUUGGAGUGUUUAAAAGCUGUAGCACUCUAUACUCUAUCUUCAAUCAAGCCGACCAACGUAAAAUCCCCAAACCGGAACCUCCGCGUCUCCUCCCUGAGAUUGAUACCAGAAACCUAGAUUCUUCAUCUUCUACUCUUCAACAACCUUUCAUCGAGUCAGCAGACGACGAAGACGAUUAA